AGAAGAUGUCUCUUCAACGCCGACGAAGAAGAGAUCGUGAGCUCAAUCUACUCCUUCUCUCGUCCGCUGCGGGCGUUGAAGCGGCGGCGCUCCGCCGCCAUUUUCCUUUCUUGCGUUAAUUUUGUUUUUUUCUUGUUUUUUUGGUCUUUUAACGAUGAUGAUUGGAUUGCUUUCUGAAGCCUGUCGGGUUGAUUGCUGCUGUUGCUACGAUUAGGGUUUUUAAUUUUCUUGGAUUGUUUGGGCGGUUGUUUCGGUUUACGUUUUCGUGGGGUUUUCUUGGAUUCGUUUAUUUUUGUAUGAUUUUGAUUUUUGCAGAGUUUUUCGGAAAAAGAUUUGGUUUUGUGAGAUGAUGCAUUGGCCGUUUUCUUUCUCUUUUUUUUCUUCCCUGUUUCAGGGUGCUGGAUUACCUGUCAAGUUAUCUGGGUAUGGUGUGGGGAUGAGGGGGUGCUACGGCGAUCCAGAUGACAUGCAUGGACUACCUGGAGGAAUUGAUGAAGGAAUUCUUGUGGUGGUAAGACUUUGGAAAUGGUGAGCGGAGGUUCUUGUUCCUGUGAUGUGAUAGUAGCUCUUUUUUGGAUGUUGGAAACGAGCAUGAAGUAUUGGUUGGGAUUAGGGAAGUGGGGGAAGUCUCUCGAGGGGUCGUUGUAGCUGCCAAAGAUAGUCAUGAUCUUGUCUUAGAACCAAGAGUCUCAGUUGAGAAUUCAUAGGAAAUUGCAGCAGAAAAUUCCAGUGUCGAGGGCAGCAUGUUAGUAGAUGGUGAUGCUGAUGCUGGUGAUCAGGGAUUAGAAAAUGUUAAUAGGGUUUCUUGUCCUUGGGAUGACAGCAACUCUUUUUUGGACGUUGAUAGUUAGCAUGAAGUAUUGGUGAAGGAGACAGAGGAAAUGGAGGAAGAAAAUGGGAACUUUGUUGAUGCUGAGAGAGAGAGUAAUCAUGUUGCCCCGGAACAAAGAAUCUGUACUGAGAACUCAAAGGCAGUUGGAGCCGAAGAUUCCAGUGUUACUUGCGUGGGUUUUGGGAUAAUUGAGCAGGUGGCCUUGCCUCUCUGUAAAUCGUGUUACCACAUUGGUACUUUUGCUGACUCUGGAAAUAAAGCUUUCGGAUAUGAAGGCAGUUGAUAAAGGCUGUGACAAGUUUGUGCUUGCUCAGGAAGAGACUGGACAUGUUGUCCUACAGAAAGAACCAUUUUUUAAGACACCAGAUAUGGCUGAAGAUGAAGUUGCUACGUUUGAGGAUGCAGGGACCUGUGCUAGAGAAUUUUUGGAGGCAACUUGUUCUCAUAAUGAUGUGAUACUUCUAAUAACCGGGAGAGGAAGGGGGUUGAGGAUGCUGGGUUAGGGGCUAGAGAAUUUUUGGAAAAAAACUUGUUUACAUCUUGAUGGCAAUGGUACCUCUUUUAGUGUUGGGGAGAGGGAGGAGGCUGAGGAAAUGUGCAAGGGCUCUGUUGGGACCAUCGAAAAAAGUUGGCAUGUUGGCUUAGAAGACAAACAUUUUAUCCAGUGUUGCAAGAUGGCUGAUGAAGAAGAGCAAAUGAAAUUACAUCCCAUCACUGUUGUCAACUUUAGGAGAUGAUUUUGAGAACCACUUGCGGAUUCAUACUGUUAUAGAAGUUAGGGAUGCUACUGGACAUUUUUAUGAAUAUAAGGUUUGCAACAGAUGUGAGAGUGUCCCUCUUGUUUCUUCUGAAUUGACUGCCAAUUGUCUCUUGAUAAGUACUGAUGAGAAAACCACCAAAGAAGUGGAUGUGUCUUACUCUUCUCUUCCUGGAAAGUCCUUGGGUUCUUCUAUGUGUUGUGAAAGAACAUUGGUGGAAGAAAAUUUUGAUAAUGCACUCCUCUCAAAUUUAGAGAAAAUGGAUAGUAGUGCUUGCAAAGAUAACAUCCUUUGCUUAAACAAUGACAAUCGUGAAAAACAUAAGCCAUUUGAUUCAGAAAAUGGUAAGGGGCUAACUCCAAGUUGUAUGAGAUGUCGGAAAGGUGGUGUUUGUGAUCAUUCAGAGAAAAAUUAACCCUCAUGUGAACAGGCUGUUGUUAGAGAUGGUUGCCAGAUAUCAUGCAUACCAAGAGGGCUAAGUGGAGGUUCACUCAAGGAAGUCAUGUCAUGCUUCUCAGUGGAAGGAUCUUCCUAUCUGCAAUCAUCUUCCUUAUUUAGAGCUGAAGUGGAUCAUGCUUCUGACCCCUUGCUGGCAACAGAUUGCGAGAGAAAAUUCACAAAUAUUGUUAGUGCAGUGUCUACUUGCUGUAGCAAUGUAAAUGAUUCUUGUGCUCAGGUGAGUGAUGGAGGAAUUGCCGAUUCAAGUUCUGUUCUUUUGAUUGUCUUAAGGCGAACUAAUCCAAAGCAAGCUGCUGCCUCAAGGAAUAAUCAAACUGAUACGAGGCCUAAUUGCUUAGCCAGAAAAAGGAAUAGUGUGAGUAAAUAUAAUAAGGCAGCUGAUGUCAUUACUUCAUUUUCAAACAUUACUGAUAAGAUGAAUAAAGUCAGAAGGAAAAGAAGCUGCUUUGACAGAAUGACAUGGGAAUCUGCUUGGGGGGAAACUGGCAGCUUAGUAAUGCAUGUCAAGGAAAAUAAUGAGCCUGCAGCAUCCGAUUUUCAUCGUGCUCAGAUUCAGAAAAUUUUGAAGAUUAGUCAGUGUUGUAGAGCUAGAAGGCAAACACAAAUGGUUCAUGGAGACAGGAAUACGAGAUCACCAGAAACUCAAUGUUCUUUCUCAUCUCAUUCCAUGCACCUAAAGAAUCAAAUGUCUGCAUCCAAAGUUUACUAAUGUGGUUGAUUCACAUCAUUCUAUAGAACUCGGUAAUGAUGUCCUGGCCAAUUUGAGUUGCCCUGCUGAGUAAGUCUGGUGAAAUUGAUUGCAAACCAUUGACAUGUGUGCCCACUUCCAGUGAGAAGUCUCUUCAAUGGGAUGGACAGAAGGGUGAUAAGGAUGUGGAAAGUUAUUUAACACAAGAUGCAUCUUCUGCGAACAUGCUGGACGAGUACCCUGGGGUCUCAUCUUGUGUCAGUUCUAAAACCUUUGUGAAAACAGUCACUGACAGGCGUUCACUUGAUCCAGAAUCAUCACCCGAUUCUGAUGUAUAUAAUCCAGUUGUUGAUGUUGUUGUCAGUCCUGUUGAGGCUGGCAGUUUGACAAUCCAGUAUUCUGGAUUGAUUCAGAGUACAACUGUUCCUGAAAUGACUGUUUUAGGUGACAUAUAAGCUAAAUUUUCACAUUACUCUGAAGCUAAUUAUAAGUCCCGAAUCUGCUUCAUCCUUAAAUUUACUGCAGCUGCAAACUGAUAACAAAUAAAAUUGGAAGGCCAGCCAAAAAGCAUAUGCCUCAUCAGAACAUGUAAUGAAGGAAAAGUUGCAUGAUUCGGAGAUUCAGAACACAACUAUGGAGCCUUUGAAGUGUGUUAGGCAGAGACAUAAUGGCUUUAAGGUAAAGAGUCUUGUGUUCAGACUCCCAGAGAAGGUCCAGCAGAAAAGGAUAUAGAAGUAAGGCCUUUCCUGGCAAGUCUACCAUAUUUGGAAUGGCAGAGUUGGACUCCAGUGAAAAUUCUGGGAAAGCAGAUCUUGGCCUGGAAACCUGGGCAUUGACUGAGCAGGAUAUAGACAAUAUACAACCAGAAGAGUGUGGAUCAUUGACGACUUAAAAAACUAAAGGGCAUAAACUUUCUAUAAAUUUCAAAACAAGGGUUGGUAUGGUGGGUAAAGAUAAAUCAAGUCCAACUGGUUCUGCCAGACACCAGAGACUGAAAUCUUGUGGUCAAAAGAACCACACCACACAAAAGUCAGAAUAGUGCAGAAAGAAGGAAAAACACAAGUGGCUUCAUUCUGGCCAGGAAGCAUGUGGAGGUUCUCCAGGGAGGUCUUGUAAGUCAGCAUUAACUGAAUCAAGUGAACAAAAAUGUUAUAAAAUUCAAGUGAUUCUUUUUCUUAGCCUCAAGUAAUGCGCUGGAACCUAAGGAAAGUCUUUGUGGAUUUGGAAGGUCAAUCUUUACCACAAAGGUGAGCACGGGUUCUCUGUGAUGACUAUCAUAAGUGGCGUUGCAUACCAACUGCAUUUGCAGGACUUGUAAGGACAAUUCAGACAAGGCAUUUGGUGACUGCUCAAUACCACAAGAGAAGACAAACUCAGAGAUCAAUGCUGAAUUGGAGAUCUCAGAUGCUUCUUGUGAUGAUGUACCUAAACCAAAUUCUGCCAGACUGCAAAUUCGAAAUUAGCUGCUGCACAGCCAGCCCCUUGGACACGUAUCGAGUCCAACUUGUAUCUUAAUCGCAAUUGGAAAAGUCAGACAAUUGAUGAGGUUUCAGACAAUGGUUUUGCCACCGUAAGCGUCCUUCAGAUGCCAGUUUGGGCUGCAGUGAUCAGUAUUUGAAUUGGAUGCUUAACGAAGAAUGUCUCAGAAGAACCUGCCCAUGUGGGGAACUUUGUUCAAACCAACAGGGAUCCAUCAACGAAACAUUCACCCCAGAUGAAGGAUGAACUGAUGCAGUAUGUUUAAUUCUCUUCUUCAGACACAAAUCGUGAGUUCAAAAGAAAGUUCGAAGAUUUACAGCAGCAGUAGAAACAGUAAAUGCCCCUGUAAGCCCUGAACACUGUGCAUGUGUUCCUCAUCCUUUGGUUGAGGAAAGCAGCUGGUCCAUACAGAACAUUACACAUGGGAGGAGGAGGGUACGUAUAUCACCUCUCAUCCAAUCCCUUUCCCUAUAAUCCAACAAGAACAUCAAAUUAGAGGAUAGAAUGGGAUCAAUCAUCAACCAGCCAAUCAAUCAAAGCUCGAGGAGCGACUCCAUCUCCCCUGUAGAUACUCCUCCCAGGACAUGUUCGGUCGCUCUGUGCUGCUGAUCGACAUCGAAUCAUCGUCUAUAUCCUGCAGCGCAAGAUUAAUAUGAGACUGGAUGUUGCUGUUACUUUGGAACACGGCUGCUUCAUCGUCCAAUCCCUCCAACUCCUCUGAAGUGCUGACCUGUGAUCUCGCCCACCGCAGCACAUCAUCAUUGUCACCUUGCAGCAGCCUCAACACCUGAGUCAAACAGCAUUUGAAUCCCUGUUGUUGCAACAUAAGCACAAGAUGUCUCGAUCGGUAAAACCGGAUCAUGAGGUCUUACAAGUGCUAUUUGGGGUCGAGAACGAGGGGCUCGUUUGAUGCAAAGGGAAGCAGCAAGCAUCAUCCGCUCCAACUCAGCUUUGUCAUAGCAAGUUCCUAAACAUGGAUCCACAAGCUCCUUGACUUCUCCAGCUUGAAGAAUUCGUGUUGCCUGCAAUCAAGGCCGAAAUCAGCCAACUGCAGGAUGGUGAGACAACAAAACAACACUGAACAAUCACCCAUACAUAUCUCAAUAUGGGAUUGAAACAUAGAAGAGCAGGAUACCUGCGGUUCGAAGUCUUCAGAAAGGAGGAUGUUGGAGGACUUCACAUCUCGGUGGAUCACGGGCUGCAUAUUGCCGGCACCACCGUGCAGGUAAUCCAGUGCCUUGGCAGUGCCCACUGCCACCUUGAACCUCUCAGCCCAACUCGAAGUAUGCUUGUUGGAACUCUCACCUGAUAUCGAUCAAUGAUUCCGAGUUCAAGACACAGUGGCAAUACCCUGCAAAUUGAACUGGUAAUGGAUGUAAACCUACCAUGAAGGUUGUCCUCUAAGCUGCCUCUUGACAGGAAAUCAUAGACCAACACAAGGUCUUUGUUCUCGAAGCAGAAUCCAAACAGUGAAAUGAUGUUCUUGUGAUGCAAGGCUGUGAUGAUCUCAAUUUCUGAUAUGAAUUCAUUCAUUACAUCUUCAGAGUGCUUCAGAAUCUUCACUGCCAAUUCCUUGCCAUCAGGAAGACAGCCCUUGUAAACACGGCUGCUGCCUCCCUUACCUAUCAGUUGCUCUGUAGUGUGUGUUAUAUCAGCAAUCAGGUCAAAGGAUGACAACAUUAACAGAGAGAUGACCAAAGAAGGGUGGAACUGAACCUGGUGAGAAGUCGGACGUCAUGCGACAGAGUUCCUUGUAGCUGAACAAUCUGCAAAUCGAUGAGUACUUCUCACGAAGAUGUUCCAGUUCCUUUGGAAUCUUGUGUUCUUCCUUGUGAAGGAGAGGCGAAGAAGUGUCUUCUGCAGGAACUACUGCGCCGCUUUCUGCGUCGCGUCUGUGAUAGGCUCUUGCAUCAGAAUUCACAGGCCGGUGGUCAGGAUGAACUGCGGAAGUCGCUGAGAACCGGCUCGGCAGCCGCAUCGCCCACUGAACCACCGACGAUCCAUCAGCUGAAGCAGUUCGCCUGUUGGAUAGCAUGGCUUUUCUGAGAAGUGGCCAACCGGGUCUCACUUCCGACGAGUCCGCAGAGAGAAGACAAAUGCGACUGGCAGGAGCCUCAGGUUUCUUUGCAGGAACCAAGGCCACGGAUUGAUUUCUCUGAAGAGAACCCCUGUCUUUCCUGAUAUGAUUGUCGCAAUCUGAUUUGCUUCUCUUUAGAUUAGACAAGCAUCGAGGCGACGAACUCGAAGUGUUGGCUGUUGUUCCUGGUCGUUGCCCCUUCGCCACUGCCGACUUCACAGGUCUUCUGUUCAGGAGCUUUGUGUAGCUUCUGGUUAAGGCUUGUUGGCCUGCAGACAACGCAGCCGCCGCAUUCUUGGCUCUGUUUUGGGCUGUAAUCGAUGGAAACGCAAUUUGAUUUAACUUCAUCGGGAGAUCAACACAAAAUUGAGCACAGGCCACCCGAUUGUUUCGAGAAUCGAACCAACCUAAGGGCUGAGAAGCCGGCACGGCUUCUCGUUUGAAGAGAGUCUUGCCGUUGCUCACCGCGAACACCGAGCAAGCUCGAGGCAGAUUCCUCGCACAGUACUUCGCGAUCGAGGUGGAUGAGUACCUAACCGAAUCGAUUGCGUGUGUAAACGAGGAUGAAACAAAUGGGAGGAGCAGAACAAAGAGGCAGAUUACCCGAUGCCGUGACUGUUCUUGGCUACGCCCACAACCAGGCUGCUGGCUCCGUAGGCGAUGGCUUCGCUGACCAAGACCUUGCGGAUGGAGGAGCCUCGGGCUAUCUUCAUCUUCAAAUCAACCUAUCUAGCACCGCCACGAUGUGAUUCAUCAGGAAGAAGAUGCACCAGAGAAAGGAUCGAUCGUGAGAAGGAGCAGCAGAAGGCGACCUGUUUCAGGUUGCAGAAUCCCUCGUAGACGGCGAGCAUGGCUUCGAACGCUUUGACGAUGGACAGCAGGGAAGAGCAGCCAAGGGACGCAUCCGACGAGUCUACAGCAGUGAGGUGGUCAGAAGGAGCAGGAGAAGCCAUGAAGAGAACCAAUCGGAGCAGCGAGUGGUACCGGAAGGGGUGGAGGGGAGGACGUGGAGGGCGAAGACGCGAUCGCCGGCGUCGGCGAUCUUCACGAGGGACCAGGUGAGUAGCUCACGGCUGUCGGCGUCCAUCUUGAUGCCCACCAACACCGUCUUCCCUCCUCCCUCAUCUUCGUUCUCCUUCUUCUUCUCCUGCAACUCUCUUCCUCCUCUUUCCUGCAUCGCCGAGGUGUCCCUUCUUCUUCUUCUUCUUCUUCUUCUUCUCUUCCUCCUCGAUCUUCACCUCUCUUACCUUGUCAUCCUGUUUUCUGAUCUGCUUUCCUGAUGUCAGCGAUUGAGCUCCAUCGAGGACUUGCUCUGCUUCGCAAGGUCUGAGAGAUCUCGGGUGGGCUCGUACGGCGAGGGGGGAAGGUAGGGACGGGAGGGAUGCGCUGCGUGAAUAGAUAUACCAUAUUUUUUGUUCGAUCGCAUCCAAGCCUAAUUCUAAGUGAAGCAUCUGUUCUCUCAUCCCGUCCGUUCACUUGUGUGAUCAUCCCCGAUUUAGAUGUGAUCGCUCUGCAGUAAUUGGACAGGACAGGAUAGGAUUUCGAGUUUAGCAAUAAGCUUAUUUUCCUGUGCAUUUUAAUUAAAAUAAUAAACUCUCUUCGGUCUUCAGGAAGAAGAAAAGAAGAAUACAGUCCGUCAUUGCUCGAAAGCAGUGCAGUGCGAUAUGCUUGAAGCAAUAUAUAAUACAAAUUCAUGGUCACAUCACUACGUAAACUUGGGGAUUCACCGCAACUUGGAUCUCGUUUUGAUGUUAAGAUAUUGUGUGGCGUGGCUGCUAUGCUGGCUUUCUAUUUCAUCAUAGUUGACCCAUCUGGAAUCAGACGGCUACGAGCGAUUCGGAAAGCGUAAGAGACGGCUCCCUGACAUCUGAAAGCUGUCGCCUUUCUUGCAGAGACACAGAGAGAGAGAGAGAGAGAGAGAGAGAGAGAGGAGGGAGAGGAAGAGUGACGCCAAGUGCUUUAAAUUUCCACCCCGCGCUUCGAUUCAAUAUUCCUCACAAUAAUGAAACAUGAGAUGUGUCAAGUUGUCGUCUUCCAUUGGAUUGAGUUGCCUCAGGAAGUGCAAUGAUGAGCGCCGCGGCCGCAAGGAGCAGCCCUUGUUUUCCGCCAAGUCUUCUUCUUCCCUGGCUAGGCCUCGAUCUCCGCUCCCGUUGGCUUCUCCGCCGCAUCCCACGCCAGUUCACGUGAGAGUCGGGCCUACGCCUUCCUCCAGUCUCCCCUCGACGCCGCUCCAUCAUGUGACCCCGGUGACAUCGACCUCCCGCACCAAAGGCGGGGCAGAAAAGGAACCGAGUGGCGUGGCGGCCACCCAUACGUGACAGAGACAGCGAGCAGCAGCACGCCAACUGUUUGUUAAUAUGCCGUGCCGAAACGAAAGCCUUCGUGAGCAUGUGGGCGGUGCCGCAAGCGACCCAUGUUACUGGGAACAUGCUUUUCCUUGAUGUCACCGGGAGGAGAAGUCCAUCAAAGAUUGAGGCAUUGCAUGUGCUGCAGAGGAUGACAUUUGGGGGGCAAUUAAUUGGAUUCUCGGAGUGCAUUGAACAUAAUUAAGUGCUCGGGUUGUCACUUUCUAUGGCACGUAAAUGGUCGUUUGUCCGCAGUCCGAAGUGACCAUAUGCGCGCAAUGACAGAAUGUACAUAAUUUUAUGGGGUCUAUUUAUUCUUAUGUCAUUAUGAUUUCA